GUGGAAACGGAUGGAGCCAGCGCAUCUGGCCUGUAUUCAGCUAUUCGGCCGCUGGCGUCAGGGUGCCGCUUUCCAGACUGGGACGGUGCUUUGUGCUGCUGGUGGUCGCGUGGUGCAUUUGCAGGUGGAGUGCGCUGAGGCGCUUAGGGUAGCGGCAUGAACUCAGUUUUGAGGCCAGCCCGCAAGGGUCUGGUACCCGAGCUGGGGGAGUGCUGUUUGUCCUGGGUGUUGUCUCGAGUAUGGCUUACGGGCUCGGGUGGGCGCCGAGCUGGCAACCGGUGGCGGUCGCAUGCGACACGUGCCAGUGGUCAGUUCGGUCCUAUUCGAGCUCACAUGCUCAUCCUCGGUGUAAAAGCUGGUCAUCCAUCCGACCCGUCUUGAAACACGGACCAAGGAGUUUAGCGUGUGCGCGAGUCAUUGGGCGUUGAAAACCCAAAGGCGCAAUGAAAGUGAAGGUCCCGCAAGGGGCUGACGUGCGAUCUUGUGCACCACGGUGUGCAGGCGCAGCAUGGUCCCGUCCCGACUGCAUGCAGUGGGGCGGAGACAGAGCGUACGCGCUGAGACCCGAAAGAUGGUGAACUAUUCCUGAGCAGGAUGAAGUCAGAGGAAACUCUGAUGGAAGUCCGAAGCGAUUCUGACGUGCAAAUCGAUCGUCUGACUUGGGUAUAGGGGCGAAAGACUAAUCGAACCAUCUAGUA
rnacentral:rRNA from 1 species